AGGAGUUUGAUCCUGGCUCAGAACGAACGCUGGCGGCAUGCCUAACACAUGCAAGUCGAACGAAGCCUUCGGGCUUAGUGGCGCACGGGUGCGUAACGCGUGGGAAUCUGCCCUUGGGUUCGGAAUAACAGUUAGAAAUGACUGCUAAUACCGAAUGAUGUCUUCGGACCAAAGAUUUAUCGCCCAAGGAUGAGCCCGCGUCGGAUUAGCUAGUUGGUGAGGUAAAGGCUCACCAAGGCGACGAUCCGUAGCUGGUCUGAGAGGAUGAUCAGCCACACUGGGACUGAGACACGGCCCAGACUCCUACGGGAGGCAGCAGUGGGGAAUAUUGGACAAUGGGCGAAAGCCUGAUCCAGCAAUGCCGCGUGAGUGAUGAAGGCCUUAGGGUUGUAAAGCUCUUUACCCGGGAUGAUAGUGACAGUACCGGGAGAAUAAGCCCCGGCUAACUCCGUG
rnacentral:rRNA from 1 species